rnacentral:rRNA from 1 species
UACGUAGGGUGCAAGCGUUACUCGGAAUUACUGGGCGUAAAGCGUGCGCAGGCGGUGAUGUAAGACAGGUGUGAAAUCCCCGGGCUUAACCUGGGAACUGCAUUUGUGACUGCAUCGCUGGAGUGCGGCAGAGGGGGAUGGAAUUCCGCGUGUAGCAGUGAAAUGCGUAGAUAUGCGGAGGAACACCGAUGGCGAAGGCAAUCCCCUGGGCCUGCACUGACGCUCAUGCACGAAAGCGUGGGGAGCAAACAGG